rnacentral:misc_RNA from 1 species
GGGAAAAUAAUUCAACACAGUGAUAGAGAGCUUCCAUUUCUCACAUUUAUGUGAAAUCCACCCAUCAAGCAUCCACGAUUAUUAUGACAGAACAGGAUAACACACUCUGAUGGCACAUUCCAACCAGUGAUAGAAAAAUGAUUCAAAAAGCAAUUAGUAGUUGUGGAAUCUCAUAAUGGAAGUUCUUGUGGAAUGAAUUAGUCAUCUAAACUUCCUCAAUGCUCAUUCAGAUUCCACUUCUUUUUAGCAUGCAUUUAACUUGGGAGAAAAAUAGAUUGAUCAACACAAAAUUUUGAGGCUAGAAAAG